CGUGUAGGCGGUUAGGCAAGUCAGGUGUGAAAUCCCUUGGCUCAACCAAGGAAGUGCGCUUGAAACUGCUUAACUAGAGUACAGGAGGGGAAAGUGGAAUUCCCAGUGUAGAGGUGAAAUUCAUAGAUAUUGGGAGGAACACCGGUAGCGAAGGCGGCUUUCUGGCCUGAUACUGACGCUGAGACGCGAAAGCGUGGGGAGCAAACAGGAUUAGAUACCCUGGUAGUCC
rnacentral:rRNA from 1 species